CUAUAUAUUAAGUAAAACAAACAGUAAAGAGUUAUAAAAAUUAGACGUUAUUACCGAUGUAGACAGACGGAAAUAAUCACAUGUCAUUGAGUAAGAUGUACAUAAACCUGGCCUAUAUUCUUAAGCAUAGGAACUCAAAACACGGAUUAUUCUACGAUAAACCACGCUUGGGAACUUAUCAUUUCUUAAAUAUAAAAAUAAAUUGUCUGGAAAUGCGCACUGAGGUACCUUACAUGCAUGAAGCAUUUCUGUAAAUUGUCAGUUAAUGGGCGUUAGUUCGAGUCCAUAUGACCGCUGUGAAAUCCUCUUUAGUAGCACAAAAUAUUUUUAUGUUAUCUCUUAUGGGCCCAGACUUGGUGUCACUAAAACCUAUAUAAAAAGAAACAAAUUGUAUUAAAGAUUUCUUGAUCUCAACACCCUUUGUAAGGCUGCCAAAUGCUAACUGCAACUGUUUUAAUAUCAAAUAUUGACAGUCGCAUGGAAAUUGUCGUAUUUUUAAUGCUAAUAAUAAUCUGCGAAAUGUGGUACAAUCAAUGACAAAUGCUUAUUGCUAUGUGCUUAUGUAAAAUAUGUUGAAUAGUUUAGUGGAGAAUGCAUCCUUUGAAUAGUCGUUGGCUCUUGUUAUUUAACUUUCACUCUUUAAAAAUCUUUUUUUCUAUACAGUUUAGCGCAAACACUUCAGUCCAAUUGUCGCAUGAACCAUGAAACAUUGAACCAGUUAAAGAGGUACAGAUCCUGAGCUAAAACACAAUAAAUAUUAGAUAUUCAACAUUUCGCAAUUUACAUUUGGUAUAUAACAUUUGAAAUAUUUGGCAAUUAGCAUGACUAGUUUAGGAUUUAGUAGCAUUUAGUACUACCUAUUUGGCAUUUAACAUUAAAUAUUUAGAUAUGCACCGAAAGGCAUUGAAAAUAUAAUUAUCUUCAAAGUAGUUAUGUUUCAUUAUGUAACAAAAAUAUUUUUCAAUUCAUGAAACAAAUCUACAGUAGAGUGUUUGUGGUAUCAAGGAUACAAGGAUUUUACGUUCUAUGUUAUAUGUCUAUACAAACAGAAUUCGAGGCUGAGCGCAAUACUAUUAGAUAAAGAAGGAGUUACGGCAGUAUUGCGCUCAACCCUCGAGAUGUCGACAUAGUUUGCAAUCAUAGUAACCUUUCAUUAAUACAUUCGGGAGAACUAAUGCUAAAACGAUAGGUUUUUUAAAACAAAAACAUGUAAAUAUGACAAGCCUAGUAGGCAGUACCCAUGGGAAAGGAUUAGUUUCAUAUUGCAGAUAGGAUGAAGUCAUGUUUAAAGAAACUUUUAAAAGGCAGCACACUCACAGAACGUUUUGCCCUACAUUAAACACAGGCAUUCACAAUUUGAGUACAUUUUCUAAAAACCUUACCUUAACAUUCCCACUGAUUGCAUGUGCUAAGUUUUUGUUUUGAUUUGCCGAUGUACAACAGUUUCAUUAUAUUUUCUUAUACACGGUGCACAAUCACGUGGUCUAUGACGUCAUGCUAUAGGUAUCGCGCCAAGCAUUUUUUGUCAACAAAGCGUCGAUUCAAGAAGAAAAUUCGUUAUUCAAACGCAGAAUGGCUGAUGAAGGUAGGACAAACGUGUGCAGCCAGAGUGGCAAGGCUUUCCGCCAGAGGCGAAAUUUGCAUACGCUCGAGAAAAGUCACACAGAAACGUUUCCCUAGGGGUUUCAGCUCUCGAUAGGCAUUGAGGAAGAGAGCAUAAGUUCACACUUAAACGUUCACGACAGGAGAGGGAACAAUCCUCGCACUUUUAGUUCUGACAUUUCCGGCUAUCUGGUGAUGACCCGUUACGAACUCACCGAGCACAUGCGGAGUCAUGAAGACAACCGGAGUCUGCCUGCAUACAAUGUGGUGCAUUGAAUAAGCACAGGCCAUUCCUGAAUCGGGAUAUAAGGCAACGUCGCAGGAAUGUUUGUGUAAUUUAAACCAGUGAAUACUUU